GGUGUACAUGAUGCUGUGCCUCCAAGGGGGUUUUGUUUCAAGACAUUGGAAGUGUAAGCCUUUGAAAAUCAGACUUGACCAUACGCAUUGGACCAUAGCAUGCGCAAUGAGUUUGAGGUCCGUCUCUAAUAUGAACACUUAUGGACAAUGGCGGCGUAGGAACCAGAUUCACCCUUCACAGGUCCAUGGCCACGCCCAGUCUGUGCCAACAACUCUUCACCAUUAACCUUAAGGAGCUUCAGUAACCAAUCAGAAAUGUCUCCUUUGCCUGACAACUGAUCCUCCUGGUGCCUUGAGCAGUAGCAUGUUGGGAUUUUAGGUUGUCACAGAGUAAAGAGUUCUCCACUUUAACCAGCAUGCAUUAUCCUGCAUCAACACUGGACUGUAAAGGACUCUACAUUUUAAUUAUAUUGUAGCUGUAUACAGCCUACAAUGUAACAGUUACCCUGCAAUAUGUCAACAAGUAUCUUGUCCCUGUGUCAUGAAAAUAAGAUCUGCCUCCUUGUAAUGGUUGCUACGUAACUGUCAUCCUCCUACCAUAUGUGUAUGGUGGGAGGAGGAUGACAGUCCUGGAGAAUCAUGUGUUUGUGUACCUGGGGAACUUCCCCUAUGAUGACCUGAUGACUGAAGCUCAAGGGACACUACUCCAUACCAGAGGCUAUUCAAAUUGUCUACCCCCCUUCACUAGGGUUUUCCAUGCCAACAGAACUGAUGUGGCUGUCAUCCAGGUUCCAUUUGAAGACCCCAUUGUUCCAAGAACUCCUUCAAAAGGCACCUGCACAGAGGGAAUCAGCUUUCAGUGGGGCAGCCAACCGUUCAACUACAUGUGGGAGGUCGGCGUCGGACCUGACCUGGCUACGCAUCGUAGGUACGUUAUGCUCUAUGAAAACCAGUGACCAUGGAUGUUUCUCUCCACCACCGGAUACAUCUGAGGAUAUGACAUUGUACCAAACUGGCUCAUUUGAAAUCCUAUAGAGGGACGCCAAGACGCUGGAAGUUCAGCAUGCCUCUACCAAACGCUGCCUCGUCACAACUACUGAGCUGAUCUGCGAGACUAGUGUGUUCCACAGAAGGGGUGAAGACUGACAACAAACUGUACUCUGGCCAUCAUUGGUGCAGAACCUCCCUCCUGGACUCCACCUGCAGGCCCCAAGAGACAGUUGACACCCACCAGAUGGACUACCAGUGGUGAAUGGGAUCAUGUUCUACAAGCAAUAUUCACCCGAAGACGGGCUUGUCAUCAGACAUCUUAUAGCUUUGCCAAAGGCUUGACUCCCAUUGUGAUUCCUCGGACUCUGACGAUGACAAGGACUACAAAGUAUCCUGUUACAACAAUCUACUAAAUUAAUUUGGGUCCCCUGGCCACACCCAGCAAUUUAAACUAGCAUUGAAUCAAUACUUUCAUGUUAUAACUCUAUUUAAAAUGAAUAAA